UACGUAGGUGGCAAGCGUUGUCCGGAAUUAUUGGGCGUAAAGCGCGCGCAGGCGGUCUCUUAAGUCUGAUGUGAAAGCCCCUGGCUCAACCAGGGAGGGUCAUUGGAAACUGGGAGUCUUGAGUGCAGAAGAGAAGAGCGGAAUUCCACGUGUAGCGGUGAAAUGCGUAGAGAUGUGGAGGAACACCAGUGGCGAAGGCGGCUCUUUGGUCUGUAACUGACGCUGAGGUGCGAAAGUGUGGGGAGCAAACAGG
rnacentral:misc_RNA from 1 species